UGUAGGUAGUCUGAAACAAUCAACUGUUUGGAACACAGACUGUUUUAUGUCAUUUGCAUUAUCAUGUUUCUCCUCAAGCCGUUCUGGCAGGGUAAAGCCAGCAUGUUUACAUUACCUUGCCUGCCAAGUACUUUGCUAGAGACUUCCACAAACUCCAUCUCUAUGGAAGAGCAAUGAGCUGGUGUCUUAAGGAGUUUGUGGAUAUAGCUCUUUAACUGGAAGGGAAUCCUCACAAAAGGGGAUCCAAUUCAUUUACUCUGAAUAUUAAAGUGCAAUUUUCCUAGUUUAACAGCAUCCUAUUUUACUGCAGUAUUGCAUCUUGCCUCUGAAAUUAAUAGUUAACCAUGGAGAAAGACAGGUCUGGCAGAAUGGGAAUCAGGCAUUAUAUUAUCCCAUGAGUCACAUACAUGCAGAGAACCAAACAAGUGUCAGCCAAUGGCUUUGAGCCCAAAAUAUGUCAAAGAGGAGAUGCGUAUCUUCAUUUAUAUUAGGUAGAUAGAAAGCUUGCUGCAGUUCCCAUUAAACAGCUUGGAGUUCUGCCACUGACUUUAGUGGGAACAGGAUUGGGCCCAUGCAGAGGAAGCUGGCUCUGGCCUGCACUGGCUGUAUUUACUGUGCAGCUCAGGGCAGCUUGUAUUUCAGCAACAGUUCCUAGUUGACAGAAUCAAGACCUCCCCUAGUUUUAGGCAUUAGUCCUUCCUUUGUUAGAUUGAGAACUUUUCCUUUGAAAUGUGAGGAUGCUUGGUAGCAGGCAGCAAUGGGCGCUCUUCUGAGUGCAGCUUCACUGAGAGUCAGUAGCAUGUGACCGUAGAGAGGGAUUAGCACAGCACCUUUUCUGAGCAGGGUUUUAUGAUUUGUAAUUUUUUACAUUUAAAAUAAAGAGCUACAUUUAGGAAUUAACCCCACUGCAGGCAUUUGCACAACUUUGUAUGGCAAGAUCCCAUUGGAGUCAGCAAAGUCAUGGAUGAGUAACCUUCAAAAGGUUUCAGAACUUUCUUGAAUCCUAGGGAACUUUUGUACCUCAGUUUUCCCAUUCUGGGUAUUCUCCACAUCUUCCAAUGCAUCUGGCUGUAGACUUGUCUCAAGAACCAAAUAAAUCUGAGGCUGCUGAUAUGUAUUGGAUCCACCAUGUGAUUUAAAUUGAAGUCCCUCUGGGAGAGGAGGUGCUGUGAACAAAUACCAUUAAGUACACCCAAACCAGCAACUGUGAGAUCAGGGCUGAAUGCCAGAUCUGCUGUUGGUCAAUGGGGACAGACAGACAGGUUUCAUGACAUGCUCAAGAUCACAUGAGCUGCCUGUGUCAGAGUGAGAAACUGCACCUGGAUCUCUCAAUUGUGAGGCUGUUGCUUUUGGCACUGCAUCAUCUUGACUGCAAACCACACAUCCAGAUUGACUUUCUCUGCGUCCUUCCUGUGCCUACAAAUGUCAGUUUAAUACACCUUGAUCCCUACAUCCAAGAAGACAUCUGGUUGAAAGAAAAGGAGCCAAGAGACCAUAAAGGUGCAAAGCCAAGAGCAAGUGUUCCCUCUGAGCUGAGUGGGAUGAGGUGGAUGGGACACUCUGGACUUCUGGGUGGAGGGAUCAACUAGAGCAGGGCUACAUUGGGCAUGAAAGUGCUUGUGGUUCAAUGCCUUCUUGUCCCAGAUGGAAUAGGGGAGGUGACAAGUGCGUGAUGCCAGUACAAAACCUGAAUAGCAACUGAUGCCAUCCCUGCCUCUCCUUGCUCUCAGGCAGUGGGUGGCAGGAGUGGUGAUGCUCCUGCCCUCUGCCUCUUGAGGCAAAAGGUAAGAAAGAUUCAGUUCCCAUACAUCUGGGUAAGCAUCCUGUUUGGGCCCAUUUCCAUAUGUGCACACUGUCCAGUCUCAGUGCCAUCUGACUUACCAGCACUUCUUUGCAGCCAUCACUUUAUGUCUAAUUCUCAGCUCAUCUGGCGACACUACAGUGCUGGCAAAAUAUGCCUCACCAGUGCUUCACUGCACUGUAGGAUUAAAAUGUAGUAUUAAAUUUUAAUAGGGUUUAACACACUGCAGAACUGUAGAGUUCAAUUAAAUAAUUUUGUAUUUUUUUUCUAUCCACAUACAUCUAUAGCUGUGUGGCUUAAUGUAAUAUAUUUGUGGAUAUGGUCCAUUAAUCCCUUUGAUUUGAGAAUCUUAAAAUGUUUUACAAAUAAACUUUACCCAUGGAAUAGAAAAUCCUUGCUCUGAACCAUUCUUACCCCUCAGUAUAGCUGAGAUGCAGGGGAGACAUACCUUUUGCCCAGUGGUUAUGUUUUUCAGGACCCCAAAAACUCAGACACUGAACUGGCCAAGAGAUGAGUCUCUUGCUUUGGUAACGGGAUGUCAACUUCCUGCCUGUCAGACAACUUUAAUUAGCACUUGACAUUGUCUGGUUUGCAGGUUUAUUUGUCUUUUUGCUUUCUGAUCAACAAAGAGGUCUUUGAAAAAUAAUAACAGAAAAGUUAUCUGAAGAAUACCAAUCAUUGUACAAACAACAGUGGGUGAAAUAGUGAAAUAGAAUUUGCUUUGUUUGCAUAUGUGGGGAGUGGCAGAAGGAAGCGGAACCAGUGAAUGGCUGUGAUACCAUCUUUGAGUUGUAAGAUCCUUUUCUAAGCCAUUUCAACAAAUUUUAUACAUUGGGUUUGCCUCAUCUUUCUCUACCAUCUGCAAUCACGUGGCUACUCACUUGUGCAGCAAUAGUU